rnacentral:misc_RNA from 1 species
AUAUCUGGGACACCUGAUGAAACCCAAGCUGCUCAAAGUCUCCUUCAAGCGUUUAUCCUCACUGGACAAUAAAACACAUGCUUGGUUAUGACUUGUUUAGUUUCACAAACGAGAAGAAAAUUUCCAUUUAGUGUUUCAGUUGGUUUUGUUUUCACAAAAUAGUGUACGCUAAUUAUUUAUCCUAAUCCUGUCCUUUCCAACAUAACAUCUCUGGUUUCUGUUACUUGAUGGAACUCUUCAUAACCAUUUUUACUGUAUCCUACCAUGGUUCUGAAGAGUUCCAUCAAGUAACAGAAACCA